GGGCCCGCACAAGCGGAGGAACAUGUGGUUUAAUUCGAUGAUACGCGAGGAACCUUACCUGGGCUUAAAUGUAGAGUGCAUGAGGUGGAAACACCCUUUCUGGCAACAGACUCUUUGCAAGGUGCUGCAUGGUUGUCGUCAGCUCGUGCCGUGAGGUGUCGGGUUAAGUCCCAUAACGAGCGCAACCCUUAUCGUUAGUUGCCAUCAGGUAAUGCUGGGAACUCUAGCGAGACUGCCACCGUAAGGUGAGAGGAAGGUGGGGAUGACGUCAAAUCAGCACGGCCCUUAUGUCCAGGGCUACACACGUGUUACAAUGGCCGGUACAAAGGGCAGCUACACCGCGAGGUGAUGCUAAUCUCUAAAGCCGGUCUCAGUUCGGAUUGGAGUCUGAAACCCGACUCCAUGAAGUUGGAUUCGCUAGUAAUCGCGCAUCAGCCAUGGCGCGGUGAAUACGUUCCCGGGCCUU
rnacentral:rRNA from 1 species